rnacentral:rRNA from 1 species
AUGAAGUUGAACGUCGAAGGGGCCUGGUGGGUGGUAACAAAGUUUCUGAGUGCUCAUCGUGGGUUCACGCCGGAGGAGCAGCAGUUUGUAAAGUUGCUCCAUGAUUGCAACCUCCAACCUGGGAGAAUGGUCCACAUCCUAUCAAUGAUACAUAGCAAAAUAGGGAAGCUCAGCAGCAUGCCAUAUCUUCCUUCAGAUGUGGUUAACCUGGUGGCAAAAUGCAUGCAAACCCAUGCCAUGUGUUGCAUGCUAAGGCUGUCAACUAGUUACACGGUGUUUCAAGUCGGCGACUUCACGUACAAGGUUUGCACCAUGCAGGACAUGUCAGACUCCGAAACCGAAGACCCGGACAAAGGAAGAAACUACAUGGUGCCACCAAGGUACAUUCUUGAGUGUUGGUCUUGGAACGCAGAUGAAGCACUCUGCCAGCAUGGCUCACAGCAAGUACUCGCAGAGCAUGAAGAUGGGCCCAACACAACUAUGGCAACAGUCAGGCGUGUGGUAAUGACAAGGAGAUUUACCAACAUAGCGGAUGAGGCUUGCAAAUAUGAUGUGAUGAGUAGAGCAGUUGAGAGGCACACAAACGCGCUAGAAAGAGAAUUGGAGUCAAUCAAGAGGAGAAUGGAGGAGGAGGCACUACAUCGAUUCCCAAAGAAAAGCAAGACUGCUCCUACGUCAACAGGGCCAUCAACAGAAAACUCAGAGGUUGGUUCCGGCGCAUCCAACACGCACACACACGUGAGGAACCCUCCAAGGACAGUCACUAAAGGGCGACCAAAACAGAUAAGAUACAAGUCAGCACUCGAGAUCCAAGCAAAGCACAAGAAGCCUACAAUGAAGACAGCGGCGUAA